rnacentral:rRNA from 1 species
UACGUAGGGUGCGAGCGUUGUCCGGAUUUAUUGGGCGUAAAGAGCUUGUAGGCGGCUCGUCACGUCGGGUGUGAAAACCUGCAAGCUCAACUGCAGGCUUGCAUUCGAUACGGGCAGGCUCGAGUUCGGUAGGGGAGACUGGAAUUCCUGGAUGUAGCGGUGAAAUGACGCAGAUAUCAGGAGGAACACCGGUGGCGAAGGCGGGUCUCUGGGCAGUAAACUGACGCUGGAGGAAGCGAAAGCGUGGGGAGCGAACAGG